rnacentral:rRNA from 1 species
UACGUAGGGUGCAAGCGUUACUCGGAAUUACUGGGCGUAAAGCGUGCGUAGGUGGUUUGUUAAGUCUGUUGUGAAAGCCCCGGGCUCAACCUGGGAAUGGCAAUGGAUACUGGCAGGCUAGAGUGCGGUAGAGGGUAGUGGAAUUCCCGGUGUAGCGGUGAAAUGCGUAGAGAUCGGGAGGAACACCAGUGGCGAAGGCGGCUACCUGGACCAGCACUGACACUGAGGCACGAAAGCGUGGGGAGCAAACAGG